CCCUUAGAUGUUCUGGGCUGCACGCGCGCUACACUGAUGCACUCAACGAGUUUACGACCUUGCCCGAUAGGGUUGGGUAAUCUUUUUAAAAUGCAUCGUGAUGGGGAUAGAUUAUUGCAAUUAUUAAUCUUCAACGAGGAAUUCCUAGUAAGCGCGAGUCAUCAGCUCGUGCCGAUUACGUCCCUGCCCUUUGUACACACCGCCCGUCGCUCCUACCGAUUGAGUGCUCAGGUGAAUAAUUCGGACUGCAGCAAUGUUUGGAUCCCGAACGUUGCAGCGGAAAGUUUAGUGAACCUUAUCACUUAGAGGAAGGAGAAGUCGUAACA
rnacentral:rRNA from 1 species